AUUAGGAUUGCAAGAUCACAAAUCAAGUUGUGGUCUUGCAAACAUGCUGCUCAAUGCACAUUUCCAGAGACUGGCACUGAGGGGUCUGGUUCCCACCUGAGACUGGUAAAGCAAUGACAGAUACUGGCAACUCAGAGAAGAGCCAUCAGGAGCAGAGCCAGGUGUGCAGCAGAGCAGCUCUGUCACCAGUCAUCAGGGGGAUGGAGGCCAAAAAGACAAAGCCCAACGGAGGAGGGUGUGGAAGAUCACUGACUGAUGAUUGCUGGGAUAAUGAGUGAAGGAGACUCCUCCUGCCUUUUCAGAAUCAGGCCAAGUUCAAAAGGAACAACUUACUGAGAAACCCAGACUCAGGCAGACUAUAUUUGAUGAACAACCAAUACCCAGCAGAGCUAAUAAAGACAGCUUUCAUCUCUGCUAGAAAGAUUGAUGUAGCCUGACAUUAUAGUUUGUGCCUCAAAGGACUGAAAGGAUUUGCUCAAAUCAGUAACAGCAUCUAUGUGAUAAAGAACAAUAUUGAAUUGCUUGGUCAGAAAUACCAUUCUUUAGGAGACAAAUCUCAAACAGAAAGAAACUCCUUCCAGAUUUUAUUUCCAAUUCUAUCUGAGACAGUUGCUCUAUUUGAGAUCCCUUCAUUUACUAUAAGGUGGUACUAUCUGAGAUCCCCUUGUCUGCUAUAAGGAAUGCUAUCUGAAAUGAAGAUUAUGAGGAAAAAGAAAACAAAGACAAUUGUGUGUACUACAACUCCUGACUCAGGGCAAUUAACAAAGCUUUAGCUGUUCAAUUUCAAAUAGAGCAAGAAAAAUAAAAGCUCCCCUAAACACUGAAAUGGAAGAAGGUUAAAGCAUGUACAAGUCAAAGAACCACCUGAAGAGGUGCCUUUUUCCCCAGUAUAGACAAGGUAGAGAGAGUCCUGACGUCAAAUGGAAGUUGCUCAGUGUGCAUACUUAUGUAGGUCACUCAGGACUUAUUUAGGUCACCUUCUUUGCAGAUUUAAGCAAGUAAUUUGCUUUUUCAAAGGAAGUAGCUGCUUUAGUCCCAUACUUGCAGAUUAACACUACAAAGAAGUGUCUAGUGCCAAAGGCGACACACGCUACAUGCACGAAUAAUCUGAAAAGAAGGGAGGAAGGACAUCUUAAAAGCUAACAGAUCCAAGAAAUCAGAACUUAUCUACAUGGAACAGAGCAGACAUCCAGGCAGGCAAACCAUAAAUCCUGACAAUUUCAAUUUAGGAAUAAGUAAGGUGCCUUAUUCCUGAUGUUAGAAUUUGGCAUUCAUUGCUAUGAAGCACACAAGUCCCACAGAAUAGGAAGGAUCACAUUUUUCACUGAAAAUAAAAUAAGCUAGCGUUCAGUAAUCAGGAUAAUUUCUAAGAGAAAAUGGUCUUGUUCCCUAUCCCUUGCAGUGUUCAAGGUCAGGCUGGAUGGGCUCUGAGCAGCCUGGGCUAGUGGAAGGUACACCUGCCCAUUGCAGGGGUGUUGGAACAAGAAUAUCUUUAAGAUCCCUUCCAACCCAAGCCAUUCUAUGAUUCUAUGAUUCUGCAGCAUUACUUGCAGGAGAAGAGCCAGACUGAACUAAAAUAGGUUUCUUCACAACUUCCAGGCACUGAAGAAUGCAUCUUGAUGUCAUGACCUGAAGGAAGGGGGAGGCAAAAAGUCCAAAUCUUGUUGCCAUCUGUUUCCCUAAAUUAAGGGGAACAAAAAACCCACACAUAUGCAGACCAUAUUUAGAAGUCUGCAAAUUUAAUGUAUCUAGAGCUGACAGAUUACAGACAUCAAUAACCAGAGGGCAAAUAAGCAGUUGUGAAGUUAUUCAUUGUGGAAGAAAAAAUUAGCAAGUACUUGAGUCAUUUUAUCUUCCAGAAGAGUUUAGAAAUACAGAGAUAAGGGAUAAAAUGCAAGGAAGUACUACCAGCAACACAGGUUACAUUGUUGCUGUCCUGCUUAUCCAAAUUCUAAGAAAAUUUAAAAACAAUUACAAAGCAGUUUAUCACCAGUAUAAUGGUGAUAAUUAAUGGUAAUAAUUCCUCUGACUAAGCCUUUUUGCUAAAGUUCUUCAGUGGGAAAGACUCACAGAAUGAGUUAUUACAAUUAAUUUUUUUUUUUGUAGACAAAUAUUUAGAAGUGUCACCAUGCUACUGGGUGGUGCCAGGCAACCAUGGAAUUUUUCUGAAAUGUGACUACCUUAUAUAAGCCACGUAUGCCUUCUGUCUUGUAUAUCUUUAUAAGAGCAUCAAACAUUCCUCUGUAUUGCCGCUUGGAUGGAUCCACGCCAGCGUUAUAUUGUAGCACAAGUCGAGUCUUGGUUACCCAGAUUGGGUUUGUAAUGCAGAGAGUCAUGGCUCCUGAGAACAGACAGAAAUUACUCUCAUUGUUAUGCCAACUCCACAGAUUGUCCCAGCUUGUUCAGUCCAAUAUAACACAGGCUUCUACAAUGGCAAAACUACUUUUCCUACCAGAGCACUCAUAUUGUUUAAAACAGGUGAAGUUUAUGCCCUCCAUUGCUCCCUCUCUCUCCCUUCAAAGCUCACAGUCAAGUCCAAUUCACUUCUGCUGGGGUACUUUUGCAGGGCACAUGUAUUUUUAUCUGAAGUAGACAGAAAAUGGAAUUUCUUAAUGUACCACUGAUUAUCCUUAUUAUACUGAGUUAUUCUUCAGUAUACAAUAAUUCAAAUUUUAAUGAACAACUCAGUGUUGUGAAAUUUGCUUAAUAAUUAAGCAAAUAAUAAUAAAUAAUAAUUAAUUGAUAACAUGUUGUUAUAGCUUUAUAGGUUAUUGAAAAUAGCAUUGUAGCAGAAUCCAUUACUAUAUUUCAUGUCAAACAAUAUGCCCUAUAUUUCAACAUUAAAUGAAUGCUUCAAAAUCCUAAUAAAAAGUCUUCCAAAUUGCCUGUACAGCAUGUAGUGACAGGACAAGGAGGAAUGAUUCAAACUGGAAGAGAGUAGGUUUAGAUUAAGUAUGAGACAGAAAAUCUUUACUGUGAUGGCAGUGAGGCACUGGAACAGGUUUCCCAGAGAAUCUGUGGAUGCCUCACCUCUGGAAGUGUUCACAACCAAGAUGGAUGGGGCUUUGAGCAACCUGGUCUAGCGAGAGGUGCCCCAGCCAAAGACAGGGGGAUGAAACUAGAUUAUUUUUAAGGUCCCUUCCAACCCAAACCAUUCCAUGAUUUAAAAGGCCACCUCCUUUCAAGGUCCAAGUGUUAAAAUUUAACAAGUUAACGAUCUGAUAGAAACAGAUUUCUACAGUUACAAUUUGGGACCCAAUACAGUACUAAAUAUAGAAAGUGCUUACACAGAAUGAAAACAAGGACAAAAGACAUUCUAAUUCUGCACAAAACUGAAGGACCACAGUGACCCACCUAUUUGUGCUAGACAUCUUUGUUUUAUUUCCAGACCACAAACUAUUGCAUCUGGGCUGGAACACUAACACUUGCCACACGUAAGAAAAAGCUGCACUGACACAGAAAGGCAGGUAGCAGCAUAUGGGAAAGCUACAGGUGAACAUUAAUUUUUGCAUUUAACCUCACCUGCCUCUGCAGCUGACACUAGGUGUUCCCUUGCACUGAGACUUUCCAUCUUCCCUUCCUUCUUGUAAGCUUUGAUGGCAUUGUAA